GAUGAACGCUGGCGGCGUGCCUAAUACAUGCAAGUCGAGCGAACAGACGAGGAGCUUGCUCCUUUGACGUUAGCGGCGGACGGGUGAGUAACACGUAGGUAACCUACCUAUAAGACUGGGAUAACUUCGGGAAACCGGAGCUAAUACCGGAUAAUAUUUCGAACCGCAUGGUUCGAUAGUGAAAGAUGGCUUUGCUAUCACUUAUAGAUGGACCUGCGCCGUAUUAGCUAGUUGGUAAGGUAACGGCUUACCAAGGCAACGAUACGUAGCCGACCUGAGAGGGUGAUCGGCCACACUGGAACUGAGACACGGUCCAGACUCCUACGGGAGGCAGCAGUAGGGAAUCUUCCGCAAUGGGCGAAAGCCUGACGGAGCAACGCCGCGUGAGUGAUGAAGGUCUUCGGAUCGUAAAACUCUGUUAUUAGGGAAGGACAAACGUGUAAGUAACUGUGCACGUCUUGACGGUACCUAAUCAGAAAGCCACGGCUAACUACGUG
rnacentral:rRNA from 1 species